GACCAAUUUAGCUGUGUUCUUUUUCAGUGUGAGAUUUAUACUUAAGAAUCAAGCAUUUCAUCAGAAUAUGUCUAGAUAAAUUCCUGAGAUUCUGGAAGGAUAUUUACUUAAGUCCACCAACCCUGGUGGUAUGAGUGAAUGCUAGAAUCUGCAACCCAACCCAUUGUGUCAGAGCAUUCAUCUGGUCCAUCGUGAUGCCCAUGAGACUUGAGGGACAAGGGGAACCUGUGGUAGUAUGAUGAUGCA